rnacentral:tRNA from 1 species
AGCUCAGUGGUAGAGUGCUUGCCUAACAUGCAUGAGGCCCUGGGUUUGAGCCCCAG